UACGAAGGGUGCAACCGUUGCUCGGAAUUAUUGGGCGUAAAGCGCACGUAGGCGGCAUUGCAAGUCGGAUGUGAAAUCCCUCGGCUUAACCAAGGAAGUGCAUCCGAAACUGUAGUGCUUGAGUACUUAAGAGGAUCGCGGAAUUCCCGGUGUAGAGGUGAAAUUCGUAGAUAUCGGGAGGAACACCAGUGGCGAAGGCGGCGAUCUGGGAAGAUACUGACGCUGAGGUGCGAAAGCGUGGGGAGCAAACAGG
rnacentral:rRNA from 1 species